GAUUUAGAUUAAUUCAUACACAUUGACCUACAGGAAAGAGAUGGUCACUGUUUCUUGAGAUAUGAGGAAAUAAUCUGAAUUCCAAGAAGGAUUUCAGAUAAACGCAUUAAUUUUCAGAGUUUAAAAGUUCCUUCCAGCUUGUAAUAAGCAAUGCUUCAAUUUUCUGCCUUGAUAUUCAAAAACAGAGGUAGAGAGAGGAGAAGCAACAUAUCCAGUCCAGAGACUGCAAUGUACAGUCUGUUCUAGGUGCCACCCAGCAAAACAAGCACACACUUGGGGCAUGAAUUUCACUCUGACAGUAUUAGUUGGACUUAGUUUAAAAGUCAGAGGUAUAGGAAUAGUUUGGUUCUUGAAUCCUUCCUAGGAAUCCCUGUUCUUAUUCAAGUCUACAAGAAUUCAGCAACCUGAAUGCAAUUAUAUAUCUUGUCCUUAGUGCUUUAUUCUCAGGGCCACCCUGAAGACCUAUUUAAAGUCAGGCAUGUUCUUAAAUCCUUAUGUGAAAAUUGCAUUCAGAUAAGUGAUCUAAAAUUAAAAUAUCACCCCGGCUCUUGUAUAUUUGCAAAUCAAAUUUGCUUUGACAACAGGUUAACAUAAGAUACAGCUGAGACAGAGAGCCUAGAGCUAGAUGGGCUGUGUGAUUUAAGGCUCUGCAAUUAAAAGACAGAACGCAGAGAUGCUGCCUUUUCAAAUGUGGGUGUUCAAGUUUCGCCAGGACUCUGCUGUCUGCGUGAGUGCCAGUGAACUGAAGCAGUUGCCAUGCUACUUCAUGGAAAAUUAUUAAGUCAGUGAUUUAUUUAGUCUGUUUAAAAAGGUGGGAUAAAACACUGGGCUGGUAUUGCCGUGGUGAUUAUGCUGUUAUUAUUUUUUUUUUAAUUAAUGUUGAGCAACCUGUACUGCAGCCAACUUCAAGACACUUCAGAAGUGCACUCCUCAUUCUCUGGCUGGAGAACAAAAGCCUUCAUUCUAGACAAGGGUAGGAUAAAUAAUGUUUUCAUUCUAGGACCCUACAGAAAACUACUUUUCCAAUAUUAGGAGCAUCUGUCUAUGUAUCUUCCAUGCACUGAGAGAGAAAACAGACUUGACUUUCCUAUCUCAUCUUACAAAGAAAAUACCUAUUUUUUCCCCAUCUCUGAGACACGAAAUGUAAGCCCAGAACAGAAGAAAUGUAAACCCAGGCCUGAAGAGCCCACAGAGGAGAAACUCAAUUCCCAUCUCCCCAUGCUUCUGUAACUCAAUGCACUAUUUACCAGGACAGAGCCAGACAUGGUUACCCUCACUCUGAUGAUCUGGGAUAAAUGAUUAUUUCCACCUCUCCAUCCCAAACCAUCCAUCACUCUCCCCUUCCUGGCAGAGCCCCUGCAGUUUGCUGGUGUGGCUGACCCUGUGCUCUCUCAGAGGGUCACUCAAAGUAUCUCCCUGUGUUACUCCCAGACCUGCUAGGGGUUGCCAAGGGGGAAAUUUCUUAAUGCUUUUGACUGAGGUGAAACAACACAGAUUUUUAUACCAGAGAUUUGCCAUUGGGGUAGAGGGAAAGAAAUACAGAGAAGAGCAGCUGGGCACAAUACCCCCAGCUUGUCAUGUCUAACCACUAACCUCUGCUUCUUUCUAGCAGCUGAACUUUACAUCAACCACUGGAAAAGAUUCCUCCAGCUCACAUGGGAGACAGCAGGAUUUUGGUGCUGAUACAUUGCAAUUGCCCCUCAAUUGAGGUCAGUGGGGCAAAGGCAGGUGACAGUCAGUACCAAGUGAUACUAUCUGAGUUGUGGAAAACCAUGUUAAUUCAAAGCCGCCUGACCCAGAGAAGAGACACUUUGUUAACUGCAAACUCAUCCUGGUGCAAUGGUAUAACACCAUGUUGUGUUAAAUCCGUAACAGAACAGCCUUCAAAAGCUAUUUUAGUCAAUUAAUAGCAGUUGGACUCUUUAGCACAUAGUUACCAUCAUCUACUUAUUAUGUACUUAAAAUGCAAUUAUAGACAGGAAAAUAAUGUUCGUUUUCUAUUGACCUCGUUUUACUCGAGUGAAUUGAGUCUAUUUCUCAUCUGCAUUCACAGUCCCAGCUGCUUCCUGACUGAAACAGAUCCUGUAGGCUUUUUAUAUCCAGUAGCAAUGCAGCAACACCAUAUGUAAGGCCAGGGUGUGUGGAGGAGCUAGGAUGUCUCCUGGCUCCUGAAUUGUUAGACUGUUCCAAGUUCCAGUGCGGAAUCAUUCUCAGGAUGGUGAUUCACAAGGUAGCAAAGAACUUCCAUCCAGUUCUCAGGCUAAGUUUUUAGGGUUAGAAAAACAAUGUUGUUUCUGAAGCUUAAAGAAGAGAGUCCCUGUCUAUAACAGAGCACAUUUCUGAGACUAUUAGUUAUCCAACAGACUGGCAGUAAAGUAAAAAGAGUGAAUAUAUAGUGAAGUUUUCCUAAACAUACAUAAAUAGCAAACCAUCACACUUUCACUGGAAGAAGCAAAAUUUGCAGACAGGACAAGUUAUUUUGCUUUGAAACAAUGUAUGAAGACAGUCCAGUCAGGUGCAUUUCAACAAUCAACAAACUGCAUCUGAAAUUCAGGGCAGUGCACAAGAACUCGCAAACCCAUAAAUGCUCAUCUUCCCUGAAUGUCAUUGAUGCAAGUCACUUGCUACCAUAAUUAGCUCUGUCAGAAGAUCUGAAAUAGAAGGGAAUGGAGGGGAGUCCCUGCAGCAUAAACUGGCAGGUCCAUGUACCAGAGUGGUGUGUAGGAAGGAUGCCCCCAAUUUCUCAAAAGCAGAUCUGCAUUUAUUCCUAACCAUGGCACUUAACAGUGUCAUUUGAUGGACAGAUAUGCAUAGGCUGGCUACAUUUCACCAUCAGAUUGCUAAUACAGUUUCAAGGUUAUAUUUUUAAGAAACCUGGCAAACUCUUUGGUUGGUAUCCACUGCAGUAGGUCACCAAGAAAAAAUACAAACAAACCCACCCCAGUGCAGCAUUCAGAAAACUGCUUCAUAAGCUUAAGAGAAGUUUUGAGCUGGGACAAGACAGCCUAUCAGUACUUAAGACUACUGGAAGACUUACUUCAAAUUAUACCUAGAGAAGAUGCCAAAGGAAUAAUUUGGACACCAUUCUUUAUGGUCAAAUGUAAGUUUUUAUGCUGCUACUGUAAUAUUUAAACACUUUCUAUUUAAUAUUGCAUAUCAAAUAGAAAUGGCCAUAUCAAACAUCAGGUAAUUGCUGGCACUUAUUUUUCAAAGUCAAAACUCUGCUUGGACUUCCCUUUGAGAAAAUCAGGGUUUUAUUAGCUGGCAGAGAAGGGGAGGUGAUACCAAGGGCAAUUUGGCUUGGGAAUGCAGUGUUCUCAUCAGAGCAUCCUUUCUGGCAGUAAGGUUUUCCUCAGAGAGAAAGUUCAGCAGGAUUUCCUGAGACUGCUUAUCUCUCAGACCUGAUUUUAUGGAGGCCUUGGAAGACUUUGAGGUGCUGCCUUCAGACAUAGGGACCCACCCAGCAAUGCACAAACUCUGCUGCCUUUCUCACUGCAUAGUCAGAAGUGAGUCAGUGUGUGGGAUAAAAAAAGUUGAGGGGGAGGAGGGUUAAAGUUUGUGCUUGUCAUAUCACUGCACAAUAUGGGAAAUGCCAAGUGUAGGCUGCCAGCCUAUACAGCCCACUGAUUUCAUAUAGAUGUCUUGGAAGCACAAACCUUACUCACUCUGAGUAUCACAUUGGAUCUCCCUCUUCUCAGCCCUGACCCACCAGAUGUCCACGUGAAUAAUAAAGUUGCCCUUGAUUUUCCUGCUCAUGGGGGACAUUUGCCACAGAGAUGAUGACAUUUGUGUUUUGGUUAGCCCCAAAACACUGGGUUAAGGUGAAGCAAUCAGAAAAUUCUAGCUGCCCACAGUCUGCCUGGUUGCAGUCAAUGCAAUUUUUAUGAGGCAUUUUAUUAUUAAAAGAAUUUCUCUAGUAGUCAACCCACCCACUGCCAAUCCCACAUUUACAAAACUAAUUUAGUUCAAGGGUGCUCGCAGUCAAGUCAAUACAAGCCAGCCAUUAUUCUCUGCUAGAGAAAAGUCAUUCAAAGAGAGGUACCCAGCCAUGUGUAGACCAUAUUUUAGCAUGCCAACAAAGUGCUAUUUUCUAGCUUGGUGCUGUACAUCUCACUGCUUUCCAAUGGUUUGCAGUUGCAAUGUUCAUUCAACCCAGGAAGGGUGCCUUAGGCAGAUCUGCCACACAAGCCCAAUUAUUCACUCUGGGUAUCACCACAGGUUGCUGACCUUGGUAACAUGACAUGCAUCAGGCUGUUUGUGAGCAGGCUCUCCAGCCUCCUUCCUGCACUCCAUCUUCAUUAGCCACCAGCAAUUACACGUCUUUCCUACUCUGAGGCUUGGCAUAUUUACAAGAACUAAAUUUUAUAGCAGUCUCAGGCUACUUUCCAUAUCUGACCCCCACCCUCAGAGCUGCGGGUGCAGUCACUGUACAUGGAUAGAGAUCUUGAUGAAAUCUCCAUUUCCAAACUUCAGUUUGCAGAGCAGACAAAGAAAAGGCACAGCACUGUCAGGCACAGACUUGAAUUACAGUGGCAGGGUGGAGGUUUCUGCUAGUAAAAGAGCUUCCUUGUGUCUUUUCUUAAUAUAUUACUCUUAGUUAAUGCUUAGUUUCACCUUAUUCAGAAUAAUAGGUCACAUGAUUUUAUUUGCUUUCCUUUGGAAAUGUUGACUCUUCAACUCAUCUAAAAUUGAGGUCUGUGCUUCUCUGUUACAAAUGACUUGAACAAUCCUGCUCUAAAUAGCCAACUUGAAGCAAAACAUGACUUCUUGCCUUGUCCUGUCAUAGAGAAUCCCUGUGACAUUUGUUAGCUCCCACUGCACAAAACUUGAGCAUCUUGCAUAUCACUGCAUCUGAGGCUGUACCUACACAGAGAUUUCAACCCAAAAGAAAAAUGCUGGGUUUUUUUAGAGGGAACCAUUUCCCCCCAACCACUGCAACCAAUAACAGGGGAGAAAAACAGAGUUUUUGUUAUUUCUGUGAAUCAGAAACACUGCAGAACUAGUGAAAACCAGUUGCCCUUUUUUGCCUUCUAAAAGAAGGCCUAUGCUGAACCACAAUGGAAUUACAAAUCUCUUUCUGCCACUUCAUUAUCCCUCUCCUCCAUCAAAACCCUGUUUUAAGCAGUUUGACUGUUGCUGGCACACGAGCAGGAGCAGCUUCUGAGCACAGCAAUGAUGGAACAGCACCAGGCAGAACUGCAGCUGAGCAACAGAAAAGCAAGGUCUGCUUUUGAGCUGAGUGUCCUGUCCUUCCAGAUGCUUCAGGCUCAGCUGCAGCACACUGAACCUGUGGGAGAUCUGGAGUCACUCUGUACCAUGAGGCUCAGCACUAGGAUCAUCAAGAAGACCUUGCAGAGAAAACAGUUCAAGGGGAAAGAAAAAAUACUUAGUAAAAAAAAAAAAUUCAUAUCUGCAUUUGUGCAUAUAUGAAAAUUUGCCUUAGAAAAGGCUAGUUCUGUGUUGAGGAUGACUGCAAUCCUUUAGUUCCUAUCCUAAUACAAAUCUUAACACAGAUGUACACCAAAGGAGGCAGAAAAAUUUAGUUAAUCCUGAUGGUAUCAUCGUAUCUUGCUCCCUACAUAGUUUUAUAGAUCAUUGGCUGGAUAAUCUGUACUGAGUUACAUGUCUGGAGAGAUGGGGCUCAAAGGUAAUUCUCUCUUUUUCAGCACACACAGAUUUGGGGAUGUAAUUUCUAUCUCUUAGAUGUGUACUUGCUUCUGGCCCAAAGUCAAGAGUGCUGCAAGACAACUCUCCAUUGCCUGCAUUUGCAAUUAACUAAACCUCCAAGAGCAUGGACAUAAAAUGAGCCUGUGACAAUAAAGGAAUACAAGUCAGGGGACAAGCAGAGACCCAACGGGACACAUCUCUCCUUAUUAUUCAUAGGACUGAGCUGUUUGAGUUUAGUUUCCUUUCAUGCAUGAAAAAGCUUUUGAGGAAUCUCAUUACUGUACUGAAUAUAAAUAUAUUUGAUAAUAAAGAGACAGAGUUAAACUAGAAGUGAAGAUCAGUGCCUGGUUUUAAAAGUAUUAGAGCUAUAUUACUUACAGAUACAAAUAGAGAUUGAAGCUGAAAUUGGAGCAGACCUUAAAUAUCUUCUCUUUUCUUAAGGGAAGAGGAGGUAGCUGGAAAGCAGUAGCAAUCCAAGAAAUAAGAACCUAAGAAAUCUGUUGCUGGGUCAGUCUGUCCAGCUCAGCACUGCCAAGAGGAGAUGCUCUCUGGGAGCACUGUGUAAGCCUGGCCACUUCUGGCAGCCCAUCUUCUGACAUCCACGACUGCUCUAUCAGAGGGAAGACCUCUGUUUAGUGCUUUCAGGGUCUAUGGACCUGUCAUCCACAACUCAUCCAACUCAAAAAGCCACCUUUUUUCCAAACUCAAAAGUCCCAUCCUUUUCAAACACUUACAAAGCAACUAAUCAUCCCUUUGACCAUUUCAGUUAUUCUAAAGAGAACUCCCUAAUAUCAGGUAUCUAUUCCUCAGCACACUGACCUGCUUUCAAACCCCAGUGAACCCAGUCCACCAGAAACCAAAAUAAUAAGAGUGGCUACAAGGGGGUGAAGAAGUCAGUGUGAUCUCUGCAAGGGAGGAAAGACCUUCCAAACUGCUGAGUCAGUCCAGAGCACACCGGUGAGAACUGCUUCCAGGUCUGGGUGGAGGUGAACCUGAGCGGAGCCUGAACGCCGUUAAAGCCCCACUGACUAACAAAAACUUUUAAAAUAUGACUACAGUGAGGAUUUUACCUCCACAAUGCUGCUAUGCUGGGAUGUGACAAGCUUCCUACCCAGGUCUGGAAGGCAUUCCCUAUUCCUGAUCUUCAUCAUAACCCUCAACACUUCUACCCCCCAUCAUGGCCAAAGGUGAAUGUCAGAAAAAGUUUCCCCCAUCCCUGGGCAGUGACUCAAUUCCCUAAGUCA